ACCGAAUUGUUUGUAAAACUUUCUGAGUGCGCGCGGAGCGAGGGAACCGAGACAGGGGUAGCUGCAGCCUGGAGCACUGCGCGUGCUGAAAGGUUUCUCACUGGUGAAAGGAGUUUUACUGUGUUGAACAAUCAGAGCUAACAAGUGCAAGCAUCAGAGCAUCAGGAAGAAGAGAAAUCUGCAGAGACAGAGUUUAUUGAAGGACAGAGAGAACAUGAAGAUCCAGAACCCUGCAGAAUCAAACACACUGAAGAACAAACAGAUCCAAUAGAGAAGAAACAUGUCAAAACUGGAGAAAAAUCUCUCACAGAGACUGAAAGAGUUUCUUUACUGAAGAGAAGAGACA